rnacentral:ncRNA from 14 species
GAGUGGUUGAAAGCAUUGGUUUGCUAAAUCAGUGCGACAAGAAACUGUGCAAUGUAAUGUGGUUCAAUUCCACAGGACGUAACCCCCGUCCUACCCAACCUAGACAUGCGUCGGGAGUAAUCUUGAGGUGUGAAGCUCUAGGGACAAUGUAAUGAUGCUUGGGAUUCCGUACUAAGCUAAUGCUAGGGUAAAGAGACCCGGCGGGUCUUCGUGUGCGGAAAUCGUAAAGUCGGCCAGAGGACCUGUAAAGCCAAAGAAGCACGUAGUGCCUGUAAAGGCAAAGAAGUCUCCUUCGGACCCUUCGGGCCCUCAAUAGAUGAACAGUUCAAACGAACUAAUACAGAGACCUCGUAAAAAACAAUUCAAGGCGGAACCAAAAGAUCUUCUGGAUGAAAUAUCGUAGGUUCAAAAUUGGAAUGGUAGGUAUCCCGAGCAGGAAGCCCGCCGUGGAAGGGGUGGUAUCUCUGAUUUUGAUAUCACCGUGGGUUCAGAUUUCCAUCGGGGUUUUUUUAGGUUCUUCCUGUUGAGAGAAAUGGUACAUUGCGCGGAACUUGGUAAACCCGUAUCGCUCCUUUCGGGAGGCUCUGUGGUAAUGCAGAGUAACGCAAUGCGGGUAGAGGACAGCUCAAAAAGCAAAAGCCCGUCUGUAAUUGAUGGGAUAGGAUCUUGUGAUCUACACCGAAAGGUGGCAGACUUGAGCAUGGGUGACUUGUACUAUAUCUUUCUUGAGAUUUUGAUAAAAAGGAUAUAAAAUUCAUUUUUUUUUAUUGGCACAAGGCCCCGGGGACACCAAAAAACCAAAAUACUGUCUGACAAAACAAGGAACAGGGGCUUAGAGUUGCGGGUGAACCCGUAACACUUAACUUGCCAUUUUACACAUGCAACAAGUUCUAGUAGCCAAUGAUUCAAACAUGACUCUUGCGGGUUUACAUUUUGGACAGGUUGCUUGAGCCGUAUGCGGGAAAACUCGCACGUACGGUUCUUAGGGGGGGGAAAGCUUGAGAGGGCCUACCUAUCCCGACAAAUACAACAAUAUUGUAUCAUGGGUUC